UCGGUUUUAUUUUUAAUUCGGUUCGGUUCGGUUUUAAUUUUCUGAAAAAUCGGUGAUUUCGGUUCGGUUCGGUUUUAGAUUCAAAAAUUUCGAUUAGACCGAACCGAACCGAAAUCACUAAACUACGUCGUUUUGAAAUGUACCCUUAUAUUUGCCCUAAAUCUAAAAGCCUGAGUCACGCUACCCAUCUCCAUUCCACGCCGCCUCGCGAAUUAGCAACGUUGACGACUCCUCACCUCACUGUCGGCGUCGGUCGUCACUCUCCACGGAAUCGUCGGCGUCGGUCGUCACUCUCCACGCGGCGCAUACCUUCGUCUCUCUCAAACCAAAUCCCUAAUCUCCAUCCUUCGCGUCUUCAAUCCGUAGCCACAGCCACCCACCCCAGUCGCUAGUCCCACAGCCACCCACCGGCCACCCACCCUGCCACCCUUCGCGUCUCUCUCUCACGGCCAUCGCUCGCGUCUCUCUCUCUCAUAGCCGUCGCUCGCGAGACUCACUGUGAUUCACAACACUCUAAAUACUCAAAGAAGGUUCAGUUGCUCAGUCUCACCGUGUUGGUAGAGUUAGCUCAGCUUAUGAAGCAAGUCAGGUUGUUCUUAAAAAAGAUCAGUGGGAAGCAAGAGAGAAGUAAAGGCCGGGUUUACUGCUGUUUAUAAUUUCUUGGCAUUUGAAGAAUGGAGAAAUUGAAGAAUGGAGAAAUUGAAGAAUAGAGGGUUGAUUGUUGGUGAUAUAACUGUUGAUGGAUAUUUUGGAAUUAACUAUUUUAUUAGGUUUUAUGUUUAUUAAAUGGAGGAUAUCUGAAUGUGGAUUUAUGGUUGGUUGUUAGUGGAUUAUAUGAAGUAUGGACUACUUAUUAUUAUAUUC